CACUCCUGCGGGAGGCAGCAGUGGGGAAUAUUGGACAAUGGGCGCAAGCCUGAUCCAGCCAUGCCGCGUGAGUGAUGAAGGCCCUAGGGUUGUAAAGCUCUUUCACCGGUGAAGAUAAUGACGGUAACCGGAGAAGAAGCCCCGAUUAACUUCGUGCCAGCAGCCGCGGUAAUACGAAGGGGGCUAGCGUUGUUCGGAUUUACUGGGCGUAAAGCGCACGUAGGCGGACUAUUAAGUCAGGGGUGAAAUCCCGGGGCUCAACCCCGGAACUGCCUUUGAUACUGGUAGUCUUGAGUUCGAGAGAGGUGAGUGGAAUUCCGAGUGUAGAGGUGAAAUUCGUAGAUAUUCGGAGGAACACCAGUGGCGAAGGCGGCUCACUGGCUCGAUACUGACGCUGAGGUGCGAAAGCGUGGGGAGCAAACAGGAUUAGAAACCCCAGUAGUCCC
rnacentral:rRNA from 1 species